UCCAAAAGCCACGAUUCAGCCCAUAAAUAUCAAGGCUGGCACAGUAAGAGAGAGAGAGAGGAGGGGGGUAGAGAGAGAGAGAGAGAGAGAGAAGAAAUAAUAGUAUUAUAUAAGUAAGAGAGAGUAUUGUACGUACGCGUAAGAAAGUAAAGUAGUAGUUACGACCAACCAACCUACCUCCUCGACAACUACAANNNNNNNNNNNNNNNNNNNNACGUAACCGUAACCGUACGUAACCGUAACCGUAACCGUAACCGUAACGUAACGUAACGUAACGUAACGACGAACGACGACGUACGACGACGACGAGAGAGAGAGAGAGAGAGAGAGAGAGAGAGAGAGAGAGAGAGAGAGAGAGAGAGAGAGGAAAAUAAAAUGAAUUAUUCUAGAAAAUGAGAGAAUUUGCUAACGCUGAAGAAAAAUGAUUUGCACCAAACACUCCCUGCAAAUCACAAACUAGUGAUCCUUCCUGCAAAGAAAGACAAAUGGUUACUUCUUUUAAAAAAAACAGAUAAGACACAGAUCUACAAAAUCCAUAAAUUAAAUAUCACAUAUGCUUGCCACUAUGGAAUCAAAUUAAGAGAAGACUAAGGGCCAGCUUCUCGCCAGUAAACAAGUGUUAUAAUGAUAAAAAAUAAACAGUAAACACAUGUUCUAAUAUCUUAAGUCCACACAUAAAAACA
rnacentral:lncRNA from 1 species